AACUGUCAUUUAAAGGUCUGCAAAGAAUGAAACAGUUUCUUGGGGAUGGUGCACGUCUUUGAUUGUAGCCCUGGGCACUGGAAAAGCAGAGGCAGGCUAAUCUCUACAGGAACCUAGCAUGGCUGCCUUCCCAGAGGCUCAAUGAGCAACUGAAAGAGCCAGAUGCAGAUACUUCCACCCAGUCAAUGGACAGAAGCUGGUGACCUCUGUGGUUGACUGAGGGAAAGGCUGGAAGAAAGCUGAGAAGGAGGGCUACCCUGUAGAAAGAACAUCAGUUUCAACUAAUCUGGACCCUGGAGAUCUCUUAGUCACUGAUCCACCAACCAGCCUGCAGGUUUGCUUGGGAUCAUAAACUAUGCCUGUCAUCUCUGAAUCCCUAGCCUUUAGCUCUCACACCCACUGGAGAUGCUCAAUAAGGAACAGGAGCACAUAUCUGAAUUUAUCUCACAGCACCUAGUGGAAGAUGUAAAAUGGUCCUUUAUUGUCUCUGAGCUACACCUUCCACUGGGGAAUCAGCAGAGAAAUGAACACAGAUGAAGCCUGCAACAAGCAUGCCAGGUUCUGAUUACUUUACUUCUUUGCUAAAGGACAGACCUGAGGGUAAAACAUCUUAGUUUUAUUCUGUGCGGCAA
ensembl:lincRNA Gm36831 predicted gene, 36831